rnacentral:lncRNA from 1 species
ACAACCUAGUCGCCUCAUCAAAGAUAGCAGAAGUGUCACCCAGGCCUCCAGCUACUACAGGAAAGCCUCCAAACGCUGGAGCAGCCACCGCCAUGCGGAACCGCCCGCCGCCACACCACUCUUACAAUGGCAAACACGCUUCUGCUAGCCACCUCCUCCCACGCAAGCCUCCUUGCCAACUUCGUGGUCACCAUAGCGUACGACUUGACCAAAACCGUCGCCCUCAACUGCCAAACAGAAGUUCCUGCCCACUAAACUCCACACUAGCACCCUCAUCUGGCCACCGUCCACCACCGUUGGCACCUGCACUUCGAUUUCUCAACUUGGUCUCUACCCACCUCGACUCAACUCCGGUCUCACCAUCACCGCCACCACGCAUGGCCGGUCA